UGCUGUUUGACUGCUUAAAUGGGGCCGUGUGAAACGCCCACGGGAUCCUGGGCGAGGUGGCCCUUCCGGCUGCUGCUGCACCCAAACGCUGCGCUUCACGGGGAGCUUCGGAGCGAGUCCGCUCGGGGGGAACAGCGUUGCCUGCCGCAGCUGUGCCGGCACAGCCAGGCUUUGGCUGUUCUGUAGGCGCCCAGCCCCGCGUUGAAUCCUUUCCAGCCAUUUGCGUGAGUGUGGGGAACUCGGAGAGCUCCGUCCUCAUCUCCGUGGGAGACAGCAGAGCCUGUGAGGCAGGCGGCGGGGCUGUGCAGAGGAAGAAGCCCUGCAACCCGAGCGAGAGGCUUUUAAUUAACCCGAAAAGAUGAGAUCAACGCGAGUAUUACAACAGGUGGUUAAAUCCUGCGGCAAAGCAGCCCUCGCUUUGUUCUCCGUGCUGAUGCACAGGCAGAAACCUCCCGUGGGGCGAAGGAGGAGCCCGGGUGCGCGGCGUGGAAAGCAGACCGGGCGUGUGUGGGGCCGCCCGGCACCUGCGGCUCGCGGGCAGCAGCGCGGGCACGCAGACGGCCGCUUUACACUGCAGGCCCUUCACCACGUCUCAAGUUUGCAUUCCCACAGCACGGGACAGCCGGUCGCAUUGCUGCUUGCUGCGGCUGGCCGAGCAGCUGAGGCACUUCUGGGCACCUGAGAGACGCUUUGCUCACCGGGUCCUCCUUUGAAUUCGGGCACAGCCAUCCACCUCUUCACGCGAAGGUCCCUAUUUCUUAAACGGCUGUGAAAUCCGCUCCGUGCAGGCUGCUGAAAGCCGUUCAGGGCAGCGCAGGAAGGCUCGUGCUCUCCAGCACCGCCUGCCCCUCUCCCCUUCCCCCCCCGGCAGGACCCCUCGCCCGACCCGGGGCUGCCGCCUGGGGGAGGACAGAUGGUCCCAGGGAGCGCGUAGGACUGCGAAGCGGGCGCUCUACAUCCCUUCCCGGCUCCAGCAGGAGCGUGCGACGCGGCACCACCUACGCCUUCGCCCACAGCCCCCCCUCCUCCUUCCCUCUCACUUUCUGCCUUCUCCAGGUCAUCUGCUGCUGCCUGCACAGGAUAAGGUGCCCCUGCAAAGCAAAACCAGCGGCAGCUCCUCGAGCCUGACCUCUCCCCAGCACCUCCCUGGGCUCCGGUGAUGGGAAGGACACGUGCUGGUCUGCAGCAGCAGCGGGGCUGUGAGCUCUGUGACAGGAAGAUCCAGGUUUGGCUUUUCUCAGGCAAUGAGGUGGUUUUAAUCUAACGCGAAUGAGAUUGGAUGCAGUAAAGACAGGAGCAAAGUUCUUUCUCCCAUCCCUUCUCCUGGCAAGGAGAAGCUGUGCGUCACAUCCAUGUAGAGUGGGAAUAACAGGUUGAUCACUGUCUCAGCUGGAGCUUCUGUCCUUCUGGCACUGUGGCACCCAACCCUCACGCAGUGCUGGAGGUGAGGAUGCACAGCACAGAACACAGUGGACGAUCCCUCUCCUUGCCCAGUGGCAGCACUGGGCCUGGUGUCCCCCUGGGUACAGUUGGCCCUUUGGGUUCCAGGCACACUGCUGGCUCAGACUGAACGUGCAGCCUUGCUGCAGGGAAGCUUCUCAUUACCCGGUCUGUCCAUACAGCCAGGGCUGCCCCUUGACAGGUGCAGCAUCCAAUGCUUGCUCUCGUUACACUUCAUGCAGCUGGUGGUGGCCCUGCCCUUUGAUUUGUUAUGAACUCCCUGAGAGGCCUUCCUGCCCUCCUGGGAACCAUAAGCUCCUCCCAUUGGAGUGUUGUCAGCAAACUUAAUGUGUGCUCACAUCCCAUCUCUGAGCCAUCAAUGAAAACCUUGCAGAGAGCUGGCCCUAUUGUGGAACCCACCUGGCAGCUGCUACCAGCCUGCUCUGAUUCCAUUUGCUACGGCUGCCGUGACCACCACACAAGUAGCUGUGGUGCCACCUCUGCUGGGGUACCUCUGUCUCACUGGGGGGUCUCACCGUGCAUCUGCACAGGAUAGAGCAGGAUGCGUGCCCGUGGCUGUCCGAAGGGCUGAUUGCCCCAUCCCGCGCUGGGUCCAGCACCUUCAGAGUGGCAGAGGAUGGAGCCCCGCCUCCCCUCUCCCUUCAGUACAAAACUAAGGACAACCAGCUCACCUCCGUCGGUGCCAAAAGGUGAGAGAAGGGAGGGGGUGGUGCCAGCAGUGCUCACUGCUCUGUGAACCCCGAGCUCUCUGCUGCAGGUCUGGGUGACCCAGGGGAGACCUGGGGGUGAGAGGAAGACGGGGAGCAUCUGCCGCCGAGCCCCUUGGAGAGCUGAGCAUGGCAGAGCUGAGGGAAGUUUUGCCAUUGCCAUUCACAUGGCACCUGUGGAUGCACUGCGCUGUGGGCCUUGCAGCUGCUGACACAUCCCAGCAUGACAUAAGGGCUGAAACAAUUGUUAUUAUUUCUUUAAUUAAGAGCAGCUCGUGUUUGAUGCUGAUUAAACAACCUCCCCUUUUGUGCCUAGAUGAAAGUGUCCCGGGUUGGUGGUGUAAGGAAAGGAUCUGACAGCUUCGCAGGGCAUCACCAGGAGAUGCUUUGAUGUAGGCACAGAGGGGAGAUGUCUCGAAUGGUACCAGAUAACAGCUGCUCUCAGUGACUGUAAUGGGAAAUAAAAGGAGAAUAUUUCAUCUAUGAUUCCUGUCAUAAUAUGACAUGAUACAAUAAGUACUGCUGACACCUCGUUUAAUGGGUAAAAAUAACGCUGUGUGAAGGAAACUCCGUCAAAUGAGAGUGAUUAUUUGUUAAUGGGGAACCCUUCAUUUGUAGAGCGUGAGGUUUGCUCAAUGCAUAGCUUUGCCCAGAGGGUUGAGUUCUGUUGGGAGCAUCUUUGGGAUAGAAAGCAUGGAGUUACUUCUGUGAUUCGGGAUGACGUAAGAGAGUUGCUCCCUGUUGCUGGGAGGAGGGCCCUAUGUGCUGGGGGUGCUGGGAAGCACCCGUGUUGCUGGCUUGUUCCCUGGCCAGGACCCACAGGGGCCCACGAGCCUCUUGCCAGCAGCCAGCAAAGCAGGCUGAGCCCUCCAGGGCUGCAAUGAGGGGUUGCUGGCCAGCCUCAGCCCUGGGUGCUCCAGUGGGGUGCAGCAAACAAGAUUUGAAUUGUUCCCAGUAUGCAAAUUGUCUCCAGAAUCAGGCAUUUGGCAAUGCUGGGGGGGUUCUGUGUGCUGGGGGGUGGAGCUGGGAGCUAAAAUAAGUGUGUCUGUAGGAGGUGGGAGAUAGGAAGACUCUUUUUAUAUUACUCCCCUUGCUAUAUUAAGAGCCACCAUUCCUUUCUGGGCUCCAAAACCAUCCCUCCCUGCUUUUCCUCGGCUUGCAGUGAUCUCUCCUGGUUUCACCAUUCAAAAACCAGGGUUUGGAAGCUGAAUCCGGGUGCUCUCUGCUGGGUCCUUCUGUCUGAAAGACUCCCCAGAGGCUGUGCCUGGGAGUGAAGAUGUGCUCUGUGUCCCAUAGGGAUGCUGCAGGCUUCACCCACGUCCCCUUGUAGGGUAAGGCUGUGGAAGUGGAAGUUCAUGGACCCAGGGCUGAGCUUUGGAGAGCCGCCUGCUCGAUGUCAGGGAGCUCCCGCUAAGAUGCCCCUGAUCCAAGCUUAAUGACAGCCAGCCAGAGGAGACAUCUCAUUGCUUUCUGCUGUAUUCUCCCUGCCUUCAGGAUCCCCCGAUGGUUGGUGAUGCAACAGGAGGCCAAGGCAAAUAGGGGAGCAUUCCUUAUUAUUGCAGGAGAAAGGGGCAGAGAGUAAAACCUUGCUGGUUUCCCACCACAGGGACUGCACUUGCCUUCUGCUUCCUUCACUGGGCACACUCGAGUCAUCGUAGUAAGUAUUUCUCAUCACACGUGUUUCCAAAGGCAGCAAAUAUUCCCUUUGUGAGCUGUUAUACAGAGACCAUCCUCUGUUUUAAUACCUUAUCCUCCUUCUUUUCCUACCCAUUUGUAUUUGUUGCCUCUUUAGAGUGAGGCUCUGAUGCUGUCUGGAGCUCCAAUUUGAUAACAUGGUACAAAUUAAGAGUAAAUCCAAGGUUUCUUCCUGUAAAGAAGAAAGAAGGUACAAGGACAUUCUUGCAUCACAGAUCAUCUUUGAGUCCCACAUGCCACAUCCUCUCCCCCACCCCCCUUCCUUUGAUGCUUGAAAAUAGAACCAAACAAUUUCUCCACUGCUGCUUUUUUCUCUCCUUUAGCUUGAAAUGAAGGUCCACCUGUGAAAGUCCCAGCAGCUGCUGCCCAUUACCUGAGCUGAUGAGAUUGGCCCUGGGCAGGCUGGGAUGCUUACAGGAACCCGUCUGUCAUUGGGCAAUAGCUUUGGUAGAACUGCUCUGGAAAGGAGGUAAAAGCUCAUUUAAGCAGUGGUUUCAAUCAGCUCUGUUUCUUUUGCUGCAUCAAGGCCUUUCUUGGGAAUGAUGGACGCGAGGUUACAGGAUGGAGACACCACACCAUUGCACAUUAAAAGAUUGGAGACACCCAAAAAUGGGACUUAUGGAGCCAGGAAACCAAUUGCGGUCGUAUCCAGAUACAGGCUGUGCUUUGCUGAGUCUCAUGUUCCAUCUGUACGAGGUGCUGUUGGCAUUACUGGUGUUAAAGAGGUGGGUGACACUCCAUGAACUGUAUGUUGCCACUGAAGUUUCGAAGGCUGGAUCUCAGGUGUGGCUGUGCAUGGCUGCUUUAGGUGUGUUGGCUUUGCGCGUUCAAUCAACUUUACUGCAGUCAGGUUGACCAGUGUUGGUGCAUGCAUGUGGUGCUGUUGAUACCAGUCAGCAGCUGGAGGUGCCCAUUGGAAGGAUGCACCCCAGCACUGGCUGCUGGGAUGUGUGCAGUUUGGCAGCACAACUCAGCCUUUGGUUACUGCUGUGCUGCACAGCGGGGGGGUUGGGUUGGACUCACGCCCAUGAAGCAAGGGGAAACACUGGAGGCAUGGCAUGACUUGGCCUGACUGUCAUCUUCACGUUGCCAAACCCAGAAAUUGACCUGCAUUGCUGGUGGCAGCCUGGCUUCAGCUGCUGCCAGAAGGAGCGUUCCAGCGCUUGGUGGCAGCGUUUUGCCAUCUGCAGGGUGAGGGAAGGGAUUCCUGCCUCGUUCAGGUGCAAAAGGCUGCCUGCUGAAUCGCCUCCGAAUGAUGGCGAGAGUUUGAGAGCACAGCUGUGACUUUACGUCUGAGAACGAUGCCGUCGCUGUGGUGUUGCUUUCAGAGCACACCCAGUUCUUUCUCAAUAGGCAAUAAUGACUCCGGGCAGCUCAUUUAAGGCAGACGCUGCCCGCCCGCAUCGUUCCGCUCUGCACGAGCCGAAGCCACGCAAAGCAACACCCGUGCGGGCUGCGGCCGGCGGGGCUGGGAUCGGAGACGGCCCCAAUGACUCACAGGGCUGCAUGGGAAUGGAUGAAAGCAGCAGCACGCGUUGGAAGGGAGCGGUCGGCGGGGAGCGGAGCUGCUUGCCAAGUGCUCUGAGUCAGAGCGUGGGCCGGCGUAGGAGGCUGCAUCUGGGGGUGUCGGACUGAGACAGACGCGCAGAGAUGGCUGCAAUUAAGCAUGGAGCGACAUGGCUGCGGGAGUAACGCGCGUUUAAAGUGAUCACCCUGUCUGCUGUGCUGCUGGGGCGGGUGGCUGCUGGGUGCCUUUGGAGCCCACCAUACCAGGGGAGUUCAAGGGGAGCCUUGGAGUUGUCUGCUGCCUGCGUCCCCUGCAGCAGGUGUGUGGGGAGGGGGGAAUGCACUCCCUGCCAUGGGCAUCCUGGAGCUGCUGGUCGUGGGGCCAGUGAGAGCUGAGAUGUCAAGUUAGAAACCACUGCAGGGGGUGUGGAAGCUCUGCCAGAGCUGUUUCAGUACGAGAUGUUUUUCUUCAUCUGUUUGGUUUCAUUGCAAGUCUCUCCUCUUGCUUGAGGCUGGUGGGGGAAAAAAUCCUCUUGCUGUUGUUUUUUUACAGAUGAGUCAUCUCUAUUUCGAGGUGUUGCAGGUCAGCCUGAUGGAGCUCAUGCUUGUGUAGGUUGACCUGCAGGUGCUUGGCACUCUGAGUGAGGAUGCUGAACAUCAGAGCUCCCACACUCUCAUGGGGUCAUUGCAAAUCCAUUUGUAUGAUGCGUCCACCUUGCUUGUUCCCCUCCUGGAACAAAAACAAAGCAUCAGUUGACGGGAAUUGUGGAAGGGCUGCUCACUUGAGAAGGAAAAGGGAAAGAACAUCAUCACUGAGGAAGAUUUCCAUCCUUAUGAACUGUGGUGCUCAGUGUCUGUAUUGCAUGGCGUUACAGCUGUCCUCAUGUGCUUCACUUCUGCUCACAAGACUGCAUGGUCCAGCAGCUGCUUGCCUGGACAGUCAGCACAGGCCAUAUGCCCUUAUUGGCAGCUGAGGGACUGAACCUGAAGGCAGGCAGUGCUGGCUUGUCCAGAGAUGGGAGGCGAGUCUCUGAAGCCUGCACUGCAACCACAGUGCAGAGUUCAUGAUUGUCAGUGCUGCUGAGGUCUGUUUGGCUGCGGUCAAUUUGGUCUCUGCUAAGGAAGUGGUGGCAGAUGUUUGGGGCAGGAUCCUGACACAGCUUGGAAGGGUCUCUUCCUGGAGAUGGUGCUUGGAAGGCAGUGGAAAUUAGCAGAGCUGGUGUGCAGCCAUGCUGAGCUUUUUGUGGUUAUGUGACUGAGAGCAGACUGGGGCUCUGUAGGUUUCCACUGAGGAAGACUAGCUGUUCAAGUAUCUUAGAACGUGAUGUAGUGCCUGUCUGGAACUUGGAAAUUGCUCUGAGAUGAGCAAUGGUUAUCUGACUGCUAUGUUUGCUCACUGUUCGCAUUUGGGAAAGGGAUGCUUUAUGAAUGCAGUGCUGCUGAAUGCAAAGAAACCCCACCUGGCAUUUGUGAACAGACCUGAAUAUCCUUGACUAUCCGGGUGCACAUCAGUGGUAGGGCAUUUUUGCCCUGUGUAAGUAAUGGUUGGCAUUAGGCAGAAGGGUGGCAUGUUCUGCUAGGGGCAUGGAUAGCCAAAAGCAGCUUCUUGGGAUGCUACCAAGGUCUGCUAUGAAGGUGCAAGAUACCUAUUGGUAGUCCCAGCCAUCCCCCAGCUGAAAGGCAGCUCUGCCUUGCCAUCAAGACCUCAGACUCCAGGUGGCUCUGAGGCAGGGGCAGGCUUGUUCUGGGUGCCCCUUGUUGCCCUGUGCCCCAGCAAGGGGAGAUGUGAUGUCAUCUGGGACAACAUCUCAUUUCCACGUGACGUCUGCUGGUAGAAACGUGGCAUGGCCCACCCUCAAAACCAGAUACCUGCCUUGUGUAUAUCUAUUGUACCAUAUAUGUUGGUACGAUAUAUAGUGCAACUCUUCCAGAUUGCCCAUGUCGGGGCUCUCAGUGCUCUGAGUCAGGAUUCUCACAGUUCUGACUCACCACGGCAGGCUGGAAGGUAUUUCUCUCUCCAACUGGUGGGCUUGGCUGGUUGUGCAGAAGAUGAGCUUUCUUGGAAGGUACAAACUAAACGAAUGGCUCUUCACGUUAUCCGGGUGGCAACAGGGAUUGUUCUGAAUGGGAACCAAUGAAACCCAGCCUAACGCCGCUGCUUGGAAGAAAGGCAGCCAGCUUUUUGCAUCCAAAGGUUUUGAACCUCACGACAUUUUAUUUGAUGCUCAUAAUAAAAGGAUAAAGCAUGAGGUCAGCUUUGUGCAACCUCUGCCCAUUGCGGUACCAUUCCGCUGAGCUGCAUUUUGGGAGGAGGUGAUGGAGAGCAGCAGAGCAGCCAGCCUUGUGAAUGGGGCUUUGCUGGUGGCUGUGUGUGCUGAGCAAAGCCCUAACAACAUCUGCUGUGCUGCAGGAGGGCACAUGGACGUGCCAGCUUUCUGUUCUGUCUGGGGAAACAAGGUUGGAACAGGGCAGGAACUGCAGGCGCUUUUAUGGGGAACAAGGAUGUAUGAAUCCAGCAAAGCUUGCUCUUAAAUCCGGGAUUGCUCUGAGACCAUCACGUGCCCCCAGUGUGCCCUCAGAGCUGCAGGUGUUGGUUUGCAGUGAGGCAGUGCUCUUUCAGUGGCUGUUUAAGCAGCGUAUCGUUCAACAAACAGCAGCUGCGUGCAGCCACAUCAAGCUAAAUCAUUCUUCUAAAAGGUUCAGUUGUCAGGUAUUCAUUAAGGUGGGUUUCAUGUUGAAAUGAUAGUCACUAAUACUGUGCAAAUAUCUGUGACAGCUCUCAGGUUUUUUAUGGUGCAUUGCAGGAUUGCCAGAUCCCCACUGGGAGGAAGAUGUUCUCGUGGGCCUGCAUUUCCUGUGGCCCUUCCUAAGAAAAUGAGUGCUGUACAUCAGUGCCACGUGCAGGAGGAGGAAUGGCUGUGCUGUAAGGCUUUCAUGUGAACAGGGUGAGGUGGAAUCAUAUCAUGGAAUCACAGGAUGGCCUGGGUUGCAAAGGCCCACAGUGCUUAUCAGUUCCAACCCCCUGCUAUGUGCAGGGUUGCCAGCCGGCAGACCAGGCUGCCCAGAGCCACAUUCAGCCUGGCAUUAAAUGCCGGUAGGGAUGGGGCAUCCACACCUCCUUGGAAAGCCUAUUCCCAUGGAUGUGGUGCAGGGCUCAGCUCUCUGCCACUCAGACGGGUGCCCAAGUGCAGACUUAAGCACCGCACUUCAGCCCAGAUAUUUCUGCAGAUCCUGGCCCUGGCUUGCCAGUGGUGUCGAGGAGCAAAUGGCUCUCACUGGUGAUGUGGGACAGCUCUUUGUGCUGCAGUGUCGAAGCUAUCAAUCAGAAACGCCAGCUGUGUCUCUUUAGGCUCAGCAGAGGUGAAUGUGCAGUGAUGGGCACAGCUUUGCGGAGGCAGGGAGAAAGCAGGCACUCCUUUGGGCAGCAUGGCGCUUCCAUGGCUUGAUGUGUUAUUUUCCCAUGGCUUUUGGGAAGACCAGCUGCCCGUUCAUGUUGCUUACCAGCAAAAGAAGUCACCUGAUGUUAUUCUAUGUACACUUAGGCUGUAAAUGGUGCCAUUCAGCACUUGCUGCCACAGUCUCCCACCCCAAGCUCUGGAUGCAAUGGAUGAGAGUGUUGCAGCCACACCAACAGGAUGCAAAAUGGCUGCAAUCAGCAGUGUUACUUAAAUCCAGAGGGAAGAAGCUGCUGUGCCCUCAUUUGCCCCCCAUCAAUGAAGCAGCUGGGCUGGCAUGGGGAGCUGCCAACGCCAUCAACAGCUGCUCAGAAGAGUUUGAAUGGAGUUUGUGUUUAUUGGAGAAACAGGAGGGACAUCCAUUGCUUGGUUUGCUGCUUGCAUUGCUGAAAUUGAGCUGUACGUCCUAUAGCAAAGCAUCCCAGUGUCGGUCGGAUGGUCCCUUUUCGGUAGGUUAAUGGGGUGCAGCCUUCUGUGUGACCGAGUAGGGCUGUGAUGCAGGAAGGAACGGAGUUGGCAGCGUUUAAGCUGGAAACCGAGCAGGAAAGGCAAUCCGCGAGCGCCCCCUGCUGGUCUAUAGAAGGAGUGCAGAAGGAAACGUCGCAUUGCUGGAGGAAAGAGGUAUUUUGGGGAGCAAAGUGGUAUUUUGGGGGAGAUGUCAUAUUUGGUGGAGAAAAGUGGUGUUUUGUGGGAGACAAUGCCACAUUUGGGGGAGAAAGUGGCUAUUUUGAGAAGGGAAUGGAAUUUUUGAAAGAAAAGUGCUAUUUUGGGGGGAGAAAGUAUCAUUUUGGGGAGAAAGUUGCUAUUUUGCAGGAGGAAUGUCAUUUUGGGAAGAAAAGUGGUAUUUUGGGGCAAAAAUGUCAGAUUGUUUUGAGAACAAGUGGCAUUUUGGGGUGCAAAUGGCUUAUUUUUGAAAGAGAAGUGGUAUUUUGGGGAGUAAGUGCCCUAUUUUGGGGAGGAAAGUGGUAUUUUGGGGGAGAAAACUUGAUAUUUUCAGGGGAAAGUUUAUAUUAUGCAGGAGAAUCUGUCCUAUUGGCUGGAGAAAAGUAGGAUUUUCAGGAGAUAGGGCAUUUUCUCCCCAAAAUUCCUUCUUUGCUCCAAAAAUAUGAUAUUUUCUCCCCCCAAUUAGGACAUUUCUCCUGCAAAGUACCACUUUUCUCCCCAAAAUAUGAACCUUGCUUGCCCAGAAUACCACUUCUCACCCCAAAGUAGGACAUCUGUUCACCAAAAUGUGAUCCUUCUCCCCCAAAAUGCCACUUCUCUACCCAAAUUGUAUAUUUUCUCCCCAAAAUACCACUUCUCUCCCAAGAAAUAGGACAUUUUCACCGCAAAAUACCACUCUUAUCCCCAAAAUAUGACAUUUUCUCUCCCCAAAUUAGAUGUUUUCUCUCUGAAGUAUGACUUUUCUCCAAAAUAGAUGCCAUUUUCUCCCCCAAAAUACCACUUUUUCUCCCCCAGAAUAUGACAUCUCCCACAAAAUACCACUUUUCUUCCCAAAAUAAGACAUUUUCACCCCAAAAUCCCACUUUUCUCCCCAAAAUAGAACAUUUUCUCCCCCAAAAUACCACUUUUCUCCCAAAAAUGUCUUUUUCAUUGCCAAAACACAACUUUUCUCCAGAAGAUAAAAUACUGUAGCCACAAAAUACCACCUUUAUCACCAGAAAAUGAGACAUUUUCCCCAUCACAUCCAAUUGUCUGCCCUCCCCUUCCCCAUCUCCCCUAUUAAGAUGUGUAAUAAACUGCUUGGACCAACACCUGAACACCUGCUUCUGAACUUCAUGCCAGGUGUGCAGAUAUCAAAGAACCUCCUCUUCCUCCUAGCAAUUGGAGUGAGGCAAUGUGUCACUGGUGGGUCACUUAUGAGUCGCAUAUGGGGCACUGUGGGUCAGUUGUGGGGCACUUAUGGGGCACAAUGUGUCCUUUAUGGGGUAGUAUGGCUCACUGAGGGUCACUUAUGGGGCACAGAUGAGGACGUCCUGGACACAUGGUUCUCCUCCGGGCCCCACUGAUCAUGCUGUGCCCCACUGAUAACCCUGAGCCCCACUGCUCCCAUUGCUGACUCUGCUCUGUGUUCCCAGCCCAGAACUGCCCACAGCACUCAUGGAGCACCUGGCGUUGGUUGCUGCCAGCCCAGGGAGCACAGGUGCAAGCAAUGAAGCAGGGGGUGGGACAGGGUGGAGCCAGGCUGCAUCCCACCCUGAGCUCAUGGAGGGGCUGGAAGCUGAAGGGUUUGUGCCUGGGGGUUGCUCUGAUGUUGGGUCAGGGGAGUGCUGAGCCUGUUGUUAGUUUGUUGUUAAUUAUUGAUUGUCUUUAUGUUUGUUUUCUGUGGAUGCUGAUGGCAGUGGUUUUUCUGAGCCUUGGAAGGACUCUGCUGAGGGGCUUGAAGGAUCCAGCAAGGAGCCAUAGCAAAGAACGGCGCUCUCUAGCCAUCCUUCCUGGUGUCAGGCAAGCUCUAUUGCUCUUCAAGCCUGUGUUGGCACUUGCGGAGUUUCUGUAGGCUUGGGCUCACCUUGCCUUGGUACUCUCUGAGCUUUCUCUGCUCAUUCCCUAGGCUUUCCAUCAACUUCUCUAGAGGUUUUCAAGCAUCUGUGUCCGUUGGAACAACAGGAGGUGCUGAAGAACUGCAGAGCAGUGCAAGGCCUCUGCUGUGGAUCUUGGUGCUGACAUUGCCAUUGCAACUGGCUUGGUGCUCCUCCUCUUUUGGAUCCCUUUUUGCCCUCCUCUCCUCUAUGCUCAUUUGCUCUCCUCUCUUGGGUCCCCUUUUGCCCUGCUCUCCCCUGUGCCUUUUUGUCGUCUUCACUGCCUUUUGAAUUUUAUUUCCCUGACCACCUGUUGGCCCUUUCCUGACCCCCUUUACCUUGCAUCACCCCUUUGCCUUUAUUUUUUUUCCAUCUUUUUCUAUUUAUUUUUCAUUUUCUGUAUCUUUUCUUACUCUUCCCAUUUCCCAGCCCAUUUCAUUUGCUUCUUUUUCCCUUUCAGGUCCCACCCACCUGCCCCCCCCCCCUCCCCCCCUUUUUUAAGUAUUCUUUUCCUUUGAUUUUUCUUACUCUAAUUUUAAUUUUUUUCCUUUUCUGUUUCUCUUAAAUAUUUGUUUCCUUGCUGGCCCAACGGGAACUGUUAGGUGUGGGCCUGAAGCAGUGAUGGAGCACCUGGUGGGAGUGUGGACAGCCCAGGGAGCACAGGUGGAAGCAAUUCUUCUGUGGAGUGAGAUGGGGUGGAGCCAGGCUGCAUCCCCCUCUGAGCUCAUGGAAGGGCUGGCAGUCACAGGGGAAGGAUCUGUGCCUGGAUGCUGCCAUUUGUGUUGUGUUGGGCGAGUCCUGAGCCUUGGGAAGGGUUGAGGAGUUGUUUGUUUGCUCAUUCAUGAUUGUCUCUGUGUGUUUUUGUUCGGGAGGUGGUUGCAGAUGCCAGGAGUUUUCCUGAGUGGUGCAAGGACUCUACUGAGGAUCUUAGUGGACCCAGCGAGGAACCAAAGCAAAGGAUGGACCCCAAUAUCCUUGCUGCAUGACGGCAGGCAAGCUCUAUUGCUCCCAGAGAGUGUUGUUGCUAUUCGGGCCGUUCAGUAUGAUUGGUAUCAGCUUGUUGGUCCAGCUUGACCAACACUCACCACGUCUGUCCCUGCACCAGCUGCCUUUAGGUGUCGAUCAAGUGGCAGUGGAGAGUUGUGACCCUCCCAAAGGGUGCAAGGACUCUACUGAGGCUCUUGGUGGACACAGCAGGAACCCACAGCCAGAGAUGGAUGCCAAGAUCUGCUUAUUCCUCUGUCUGGCAAGCUCUGCUGACCCCGGAGGCCGUUCCCACGCUUGCAGAGGAGCUCCCCUUAGCCUCCGUGUCUCGCUCUGGCCAGGCAGAUGUGGCGUGCCAUCGGAUCAAAGCUUUCAGAAUCCAACCAAAAGAAAUGGGGAGAGAGGCUGCCCUGGUGAAUGCCUCUUUGGAGAUACAGUGACUGAAAUGUAAACUGUUGUUCUUUGACCAAGUGUAAUGGAAAAUGAAGAAGUAGGCUCCACUACAGCUAUCGUGAUUGGAGACUCCACUACCAGAUUCAAUUGGGCUUACAGCUCUUCCUGUGUUUGUGCAUUGGUUGUGCACUGACACUUGGAAAGGGAUAAGUGAUUAAUCUGUGUGCCCUUUGGCCCAAAUUUGAAAUAUUACCCGAUGUAGUCUAAGUCUAGCUUUUCCCACGCUCACCAUGUUUGUCCUCGCACUCAAUUGUUUAUUGAAAUAGUGAUGGGUUGUCGGUGCCUUGUGUUGCUGACAUCACACUUUGGAUUGGUUUUUCCUUCAUGGCUGAACAGCAUUUCUUGC
ensembl:lncRNA